ensembl:snRNA U6 U6 spliceosomal RNA
GUGCUUGCUUCGGCAGCACAUGUACUAAAAUUGGAACAAUACAGAGAAGAUUAGCAUGGCUCCCGCGCAAGGAUGACACACAAAUCCAUGAAGCUUAAAAAAAAAAA